rnacentral:rRNA from 1 species
UACGAAGGGGGCUAGCGUUGCUCGGAGUUACUGGGCGUAAAGCGCACGUAGGCGGCUCUUUAAGUCGGAGGUGAAAUCCUGGAGCUCAACUCCAGAACUGCCUUCGAUACUGAAGAGCUCGAGUCCGGGAGAGGUGAGUGGAACUGCGAGUGUAGAGGUGAAAUUCGUAGAUAUUCGCAAGAACACCAGUGGCGAAGGCGGCUCACUGGCCCGGUACUGACGCUGAGGUGCGAAAGCGUGGGGAGCAAACAGG